rnacentral:lncRNA from 1 species
AAAAACAAAAAUUUAAUUGCAAAGACAAUGUCAUAAAUAAGAAGUAGGCAUAAAAAAAAUCAGAAAGAAAACAACAUUUUGAUGGUUAAAAAAAAGGUGAAAGAACAUGAAAAGUAAGGGUAAAAAAAUGGAAAAAAUUGGAAAAAUGGUGAGAAAAAGUGGCAACAAGGGAUUGAACCCAGGUAUUGGGGGAGGGUGGCAUGAAGCUUCAACCAAUCCCCCCACGGUCCUAUUGCUAUCAACUAUAUGCAAUGGUAGAUAUAUAUUAUAUAAUGUGUUAUAGAAUGGAAAAUAAAAUAAAAUAAACAUUAAAACAAAUGAAGAAACAGUGUGCCUGGGUAUCGAGAUUGGGACUUGGGGGUGGGAGGUGUGAGCCUCAACCCCUCCCCCAUGUCCCUCAAUCUAUUACCAUACGAAACACAUUAAUAUCCAUAAAAACAAAACGCACUAAAAAAA